CCUACGGGGGGCAGCAGUAAGGAAUAUUGGUCAAUGGGCGGAAGCCUGAACCAGCCACGCCGCGUGCAGGAUGAAGGUCCUCUGGAUUGUAAACUGCUUUUAUCAGGGGCUAAGAAAGGGCUAUACGCCCUCGUGCAGGUACCUGAGGAAUAAGCCACGGCUAACUACGUGCCAGCAGCCGCGGUAAUACGUAGGUGGCAAGCGUUGUCCGGAUUUAUUGGGUUUAAAGGGUGCGUAGGCGGUUUGAUAAGUCAGUCGUUAAAGCCAUCAGCUUA
rnacentral:rRNA from 1 species